UGGUUAUUUUUUCUGAUAAUCCGCAGUGUCGUAAGGGAAAAUAAUGAUAAUACCUUACUAUGAGUGUCGUCCAAAUCUGGUGCCAGAAGACUCGGUAAGACCAGAGACGCAAACGUUAAUCAUCAUAAACAGGCGUAAAGGGUUUGUAGGCAGCUUUUAUAAUAUUAAAAAAAUUUUUAAUAUAAUUGAAAGCUAGAAUCAAAAAGAGGUUAUAGUGUAUAACGCCUAGAGGAGGGCUGAUAUCCGUAGAUCCUAGGCAGAAUACUCAGGGCGAAGGCCACUCUCCACUAAUGAUUGACGCUGAGAAACGAAGGUUAGGGUAGGAAAUAGGAUUAGAUACCCCGGUACUCCUUUCUGUAAACGAUGAAUGGUAGUCAUUAGUUUAAUUUAAAUAACUAGAGGCGAAGUUAACACAAUAACCAUUCCGCCUUGUGAGUACUACUGCAAAGUAGAAAACAAAAAAAUUAGUCGGUCUCGAAGCAAACGGAGUGAAGCAUGUUAUUUA
rnacentral:rRNA from 1 species